rnacentral:rRNA from 1 species
GGUGUAGGAUUAAGGACUUAAGUGCGCGCAAUGGAUGCCUUGGCGGUUGAGGGCGACGAAGGACGUGCCAAUACACGAAAACUCCGGCGUGCCUAUUGGGGCGGCAACCCGGUGGUGUCCGAAUGGGGGAACCUGGGCUCUAGGUGAGCCCGUCCUGGCCUGAAUAUAUAGGGCCAGGACGCGCACGCGGCGAACUGAAACAUCUCAGUAGCCGCAGGAGAAGAAAUCAAAGAGAUUCCCAUAGUAGCGGCGAGCGAAACGGGAGGAGCCUGCGUAGGCGCCCCCAUAGCAGCAGCCGAAGGCCAUGGAACGGGCAACCGUAGACGGUGACAGUCCGGUAGGCUAAGCUGCAUGGGGUCAGACAACCUGCGCUUUAGAGUAGGGCGGGGCACGCUAACCCUGUCUGAAGAUGGGGGGCCCAUCCUCCAAGGCUAAAUACCCACAACCGACCGAUAGUGAACAAGUACCGCGAGGGAAAGGUGAAAAGAGCUCUGGGGGAGCAGUGAAACAGACCUGAAAUUGCGCGCAUACGAACAGUCGGAGCCCCAUAGGCUGGGGGUGACGGCGUACCUUUUGUAUAAUGGGUCAGCGACUUAUGUUCGGCAGCGAGCUUAACUCCAUGAGGGAGGCGUAGCGAAAGCGAGUCUGACAAGGGCGCCGUAGUUGCCGGAUAUAGACCCGAAACCAGGUGAUCUACCCAUGGGCAGGAUGAUGGCGCGUUAAGCCGCACCGGAGGUCCGAACCCACUAACGUUGCAAAGUUAGGGGAUGACUUGUGGGUAGGGGUGAAAGGCCAAGCAAACCUGGAGAUAGCUGGUUCUCUCCGAAAGCUAUUGGGGUAGCGCCCCGUGUUUUUUGCUCCUGGCGGUAGAGCACUGUAGUGGCCUUGGGGUCCGAGAGGGCUACCUUGCCAUAGCAAACUCCGAAUACCGGGGCAGCAUGAGCACGGGAGACACACGGCGGGUGCUAACAUCCGUCGUGAAAAGGGAAACAACCCAGACCACAAGCUAAGGUCCCAAAGCAUGGCUAAGUGUGGAACGAUGUGGGCAGGCUCUGACAAUCAGGAGGUGGGCUUAGAAGCAGCCAUCCUUUAAAGAAAGCGUAACAGCUCACUGAUCUAGCCGGUUUGCGCGGAAGAUGUAGCGGGGCUAAGCCAUGCACCGAAGCUGUGGACGCACGGAGUGUGCGUGGUAGGAGAGCUUUCCGUAGGCCUGCGAAGGGGGGCCGGUAGGCCUCUUGGAGGUAUCGGAAGCGCGAAUGCUGACAUGAGUAGCAAGAAAGGGGGUGAGAAUCCCCCUCACCGUAAGCCCAAGGUUUCCUACGCCAUGAUCGUCAGCGUGGGGUCAGUCGGUCCUAAGGUGAGGCAGAAGUGCGUAGCCGAUGGGAAACAGGUUAAUAUUCCUGUACUACGGUGCGCCAGCGAUGGGGGCACAGGCCGCGUGUCGCAGGCUGCCUAGCGAGAACGCAGUUGCUGUGCUGUGGGGAUGCAUUGGAAAGCCCGUGCUUGUACUCGUGCGAACUCCCCUGGGCAUGGCACUCAAGCUGCGGCGUACGGCCUCAGGAAACACCCCUAAGCACCACAAAGCGCACCGUGUCCGUACCGCAAACCGACACAGGUGGGCGUGAUGAACAUUCUCAGGUGCAUGGGAGAACUCGGGAGAAGGAACUCGGCAAAUUAAUACCGUAACUUCGGGAUAAGGUAUGCCAGGGCUCGCAUCGCCGUAAGGCACGGCGCGGCAGCCCGGGCUGCAACGAAUAGGUAGCUGCGACUGUUUAUUAAAAACACAGCACUGUGCUAACACGCAAGUGGACGUAUACAGUGUGACGCCUGCCCGGUGCCGGAAGAUUAAUGUAGGGGGUGAGAGCUCCCGAGCAAAGUCCUGGUAAACGGCGGCCGUAACUAUAACGGUCCUAAGGUAGCGAAAUUCCUUGUCGGGUAAGUUCCGACCUGCACGAAUGGCGUAACGAUGGCUACACUGUCUCCUCCCGAGGCCCAGCGAAAUUGAAGUGGUUGUGAUGAUGCAAUCUACCCACGGCUAGACGGAAAGACCCCGUGAACCUUUACUGCAGCUUUGUACUGAGCUUUGAGGCUGGGCGCGUAGGAUAUGUGGGAGACUAUGAAGCCGGGCAACAGCCCCUGCUGAGUCGCAGGUGAAAUACCACUCACUCCGCCUCAACCCUCUAACCAGCGCCAUUACCUGGCGCUGGGACAGUGCAUGGUAGGCAGUUUGACUGGGGCGGUCUCCUCACAAAGCGUAACUGAGGAGCACAAAGGUACGCUAAGCACGGUUGGCAAGCGUGCCUAAAGCGCAAUGGCAUAAGCGUGCUUGACUGCGAGACAAACGUGUCGAGCAGAUGCGAAAGCAGGUCAUAGUGAUCCGGUGGUUCUGUAUGGAAAGGCCAUCGCUCAACGGAUAAAAGGUACUCCGGGGAUAACAGGCUUAUACCGCUCGAGAGUUCUUAUCGACAGCGGUGUUUGGCACCUCGAUGUCGGCUCAUCUCAUCCUGGGGCUGCAGCAGGUCCCAAGGGUAUGGCUGUUCGCCAUUUAAAGAGGUACGUGAGCUGGGUUUAAAACGUCGUGAGACAGUUUGGUCCCUAUCUACCGUGGGCGUAGGAUACCUGAGGGGAGCUGCUCCUAGUACGAGAGGACCGGAGUGGACAAACCUCUAGUGUGCCGGUUGUCGUCUCAAUGGCAUCGCCGGGUAGCCACGUUUGGCAGGGAUAACUGCUGAAGGCAUAUAAGCAGGAAGCCUACCCUAAGAUUAGGUAUCCCCUAUAAUAAGGGCCGUUCAAGACAAGAACGUUGAUAGGCUGGGUGUGUAAGCGUAGCGAUACGUUGAGCUGACCAGUACUAAUUCGCCCGUGAGACUUAAUCCU